UCGUUACCUUCAGAUAUGCAAAAAGCUGCGCCUUUAGUUCCAGCUUUAAAGUCAAAUUGGCUUAUGAUGCAUGUAAGUAUAAUGAUGUUAAGUUAUGCCACAUUAAUUGCAGGUUCAUUAUUGGCAAUCACUUUUCUUUGUAUGGGGUUUAAAGCAGCUAAAAUGAGUUCAUUAUCUACAACAAUAGAUAAUUUAAGUUAUCGUUUGUUAGGGAUUGGGUUUCCCUUAUUAACUCUAGGUAUUUUAUCUGGAGCUAUUUGGGCCAAUGAAGCCUGGGGUUCCUACUGGAGUUGGGAUCCUAAAGAAACCUGGGCAUUAAUUACUUGGUUAAUCUUUGCUAUUUAUUUUCAUUUUAGAAUUAUUCGUGGUUGGGAAGGUCGCCGACCUGCAAUUAUUGCAUCAUUUGGUUUUGUAAUUGUUUGGGUUUGUUAUUUAGGAGUUAAUUUAUUAGGUAAAGGACUUCAUAGUUACGGUUGGUUUUAAAACUAAAUGGGCUUAAGCCCAUUUAGUUUUUUAGCUAGCUUCUUACAUAUAAAUCAUCAUGUAUAUACAAAUUUUUUGAGUUUCCAGCAAUUUGUUCUUGUACGUAACUAAAAGUUGGGUCACCUUUUCCUUUAUUUAAAAUAGGCUGCGCUUUUAGUAAAGUAAAAUAAUCUUUUUUAAUCUGCUUUAAACGAUUUAUUUGUUCUAAAGACUUUUUCAGUGAAAAAGGUGUUCGAAGAUCUUGUCGUUUUUCAUUAAUAAAUUUUGAUAAUUUAUUAAAAUAAUGAAUAUUAUAUCUAAAAUAUGCGUCUUGUGUUUGAGUUUCAGUUAGUGGGGGUUUAUCAUUCCAAAUUCGUCUUUGUUUAAAAGUUUCAACAGGGAAAUGUCUAGAAAUAGGUAAAUUUCUUUCUCUAUUUCGAAUACUAGAAUCAAACCCAGUAAAAUGACGAACAACCGACCCUCCCGGGGUAGAGUCCACUCCUAGUGGAGUCGACCCCACCCCGUCGGGGUAGCUACUCCCCUGGAGGGGAGUCGACUCCCUCUGCCCACCCGUGGGCAGGGUGGUCGACUCCACAGAGUGGACUCCACCCCGUGGGGUCGAAGAAUUAUUUUCAAUGGAAGACUCUUUCGAAAAUAAUUUUAAGCGACCAACUGAACUAGCAAAUGUCUCGGCUGGAUAUUGUAUAAACAAAUGCCAAGUAUAUUUUCCUGUGACAUUAAAAAUUAAACUUAAACCUAAAAUAAUAAGCCCUCGGUUUAAAGGUCUCAUAAAUGUUCCAUAAGGUUUUAAUGAAGUUACUUGAAACCAAUUUUUUAAAAAUAAAAAAAUAAAACCAAAUAAACAACUAAAACCAAAUAAACCUAUAAAAAACCCAGAAAGGUAAGCUAUAUUUGCUAUUGGAAACCAACUUUGUGUUGUUUCAACGGAUAAGGGAAAUUGGGUUGAAUUAAACGCUACUGCUGGAUUUAAAAACAUUAGAACAAAAUGAAUACCAAAAAUUUGUAUUAAAGUUUGAGUUUGAUCAAUAGAAAUUUUUUGUAAACGAUAAUCUUGAGAAAAUUCAAAAAGAAUAUUACAUGUUAGCGCUAUACCUAUAAAAUAUAGAACAGGUUCCCAAUCGUACCAAAAUUGAAUUAAAUCUCGAAAUCCAAAAAGAAUAAAGAAAAGAAAACAUGUUUCACCUAAUGCUGUGGCUAAAUAACAUGUUAGUCCAGCAGGUAUACCUUGUACUAAAAUUCUUCGUAAACAAAUAAAUAAUGGAGGUGAAACCGGAAGAGCUGAGAAAAAAGCAUGUGUAAGUCCAAUAAAAAAAAUUUCAAAGGAUUGUAAAGAAAAGAUUUCUUCAUUAGAUGUUGAGAGAUAAGAAAUAUCUACUUCAAAAAUAUUCAUGUAUAUUUGUAAUUUAAUUAUUUUUUGUAACUGCUGUACAAUUACAACCCGGGGUAUCUGGUUACCCAAAAACCCCUGGUGUAUUUAAUUAGGGUAAAUAAAUCCUUUAGAAUUACCAGUUAAAAUAGAUUUUGCUAAAGAUAAUGCUUUUAAUGACUCUUUAGCAGUUUUUUGCUUCCAAGUACUCUUUCGCAUAUUUUUCUUUGAUUUUGAAGUGCGUUUUUUAGGAACAGCCAUAAUUUUUUAGUUAACUACUACAUUUGUGUAUGUAUUUUAGCAAAAAUUUUAAAUUUUGUUAAAUUUGGGCUAUAAUAAAUAAAAAGCUAAAUUAAAAUGGAUAUUGAAAAUUUAAUGUUAUUGGGAGCCUUAAUUUUCUGUAUAGGGCUUUAUGGUUUUUUAACAAGUCGUAAUGUAGUUAGAAUCUUAAUUUCACUUGAAUUAAUACUAAAUGCUAUUAAUAUCAAUUUAGUUUCGAUUUCAACGUUUAUGGAUUCCCAAGAAUUGAAAGGACAGGUUUUUGCUUUAUUUAUUAUUGCAAUUGCCGCUGCGGAAUCAGCUAUAGCUUUAGCUAUUAUUUUAACUUUAUAUAGAAAUAAAAAUUCUAUUGAAUUAGAACAAUUUAAUUUAUUAAAAUGGUAACAAUUAAGUAAUUAAUUACUUUAAUUACUUAAAAAAAACAUUAAAAAUGUUUGCCUCAAGCAGCGCUGCUCAAGCAGCGCUCAGCAAAAAAGAUACCUUCUUGGCGACUCCACAGAGUGGACUCUACCCCAGCGGGGUGGGGUCGACCCACCCACAGCUUGCACGUGCGUGAAACAGCUCGGAAAAGCACUUAGGCGGCCUAGAUUAGCGGCUUUAGCACCUAUGUGGCUAGCGCGGCCUUAGAGAGAGAUCUAUAUUAUUUUUCUUGUAAUAUUAAUGGAGGUUAAAUUAUUAACAGGGUUAAUUUAUUAACCAGGCGCCCUGGAGUGCCUGUGGGCUGUGUUUUUUUUAAUCUAAGUUCAAACUAAAAUAUA
rnacentral:rRNA from 1 species